rfam:Capsicum annuum cultivar Zunla-1 chromosome 11, whole genome shotgun sequence
GCCCCUUCGGGACAUCCGAUAAAUUGGAACCAUACAUAGAAGACUAGCAUGACCUAUGCAUAAGGAUGACACACAAAAAUAGGGCCCAUCUGAGUUCU